rnacentral:lncRNA from 1 species
AAACAGAGAAGCAGGGCAUGCUGGGUAAUGGCUUUCAGAGCUCUGUGGAUGUAAAACAGGCUCACCGCUGUGCUGGCACAUUAGCAUGGUGGACAUUUGUUCCCUGUGUCAUUACAGGGUGAACAGAGGACUCAGAGGACAAACAGGAAAGGUACGUUUUAGCCUCAUGCACUGUUCUUAAUGUCAGAAAUAAACACCUACUUCAUUAUAUUUUCUAGAUCCAUUCAUACUGAUAAAUGUUGUUUGUGGAGCAUUCAUGCAUGUAAUAAAAGGUGCUUUAUACCUCGUAAAUGACCUGAAUUGGUCAGCACUACAACUGAUGUAAAUUAUGUUUUUGCUAAAAAAAAGUGGUCUGGGGGUUCAGUUACACUUAAGGCAGGGGUGGGCCUCUGGUGUUGUUAUUAAUGACUUCUGCAGGCUGUUAGUCAACUAUCACCUGAUGCCAAAUGUUAUGCCUGCAGCAUACACACCACCUGCAGAUCUUGUUGCCAAUAUACUUCAUGUGUCUUUUCAAGGCGACUGCUUAAAGAGAAAUAAGAGAGUUUUAAGAGGAAGAGCUGCAUCUAAGCUGGAUGUUCUGACCAAGGCCAGCAAAGGUUUUGAGCUGCACUUUAGCCAGAACAACUGCCAACAUCAUGACUACCUAAAAGCUAGCAUAAAUGCUGCUACUAAGGUUUUAAAUGAUUGCAGAGGGCAACUACAAAUGUUGUUGCAAUUAUGGUGGAUUAGAUCAACUACUUCAGCAACACAGCACAUCUGUCACUUGUACUCAGGUUACUGACAUGAGAGUAAGAGAGAGAUUUUGAAGUUUGGGGACGUCACAGAAAAAAAAAAACAAGCUCACGAUCUGGCAGCUGUAAUGGCAACCAGUAAUUUUGCAAAAGGCUGCUGUCAUGUGUCUUUCAGGUCAAUGAAACCUAGUUUUUUUGUAAAGAUAUUUUGAAAAAACUUCAAGUCUUUAAGUAUCUUCAGGCUGAGUUUCAGCUACUGCAACAGCAGCAGCAGUGGUGUUGUUAAAAGACAGAGCAGAGAAGUAGUUCACUGAGACAGUUACAUGCAGGCUGAACCUAGAAAACUCUACAUGUCUGUGAGUCCUAAUAGAUGUAUGUAAUUGAUCAAGUGCACAUCAUUGUGAGGGUGACUCAUCAUGCAAAUCAACAUGCAGCACCUGAAUGGAAAGAGUCACAAAUGAUGUUUAUCUAACCUCUAAUCAGCGCUUCAUUCACGCAGACAGGCGACAGAGAGUCAGAAGGUUAGUGGAUAACAGUGUCAGUUAUUUAAAGAUGUGGCCUAGAUUUAGUGAACUUUUCACACCAGAAGAAUGAUAUGAAUAACAUGUAGUGAUAGAAGAGAUGAAUACACACCUCCUCUUAAUUUAGACCAGACAGGAUCUAAUUAAACAGAGAAAAUCAGAUCAAGUGCUGCAGACAUAUAAGCUGCACUGACCUUCAAAAUGACCUAGAAUGGAAGGUGUAUCAGUGAUCUGCAUGCCAUUUGGAAGAAGACCCCUUUUCUCAUAUGCUCACAUGCGCACAGGCUUAGAUCUCCUAACCCCUGCAUAUUUCCCUCGUCUCUAUAGGAGCCUCAGAUUCCUCAGCUGCCUUUCUCUCCUCUGGAAGUCCAGAAACAUCUUAUCCUGAUUGCUAUGAUGACAAUAGCUGUGGCUGUAUAACUGGAUGUCUCCAGAUAGCUGAGAAGGCUGCAGAAAAGCAGCAGAGCUUGACCCACUUUCCAGACCCGUGAACCGCAUUAAUUCAGCCUGCCAGGUGCUCAGGAGACAGGAGUGUACUGAGGCAGAUAAAUAUCAGCCUUCAUACAACAUACAAUGAGCU